GACGAAGGGGGCUAGCGUUGCUCGGAAUUACUGGGCGUAAAGCGAGUGUAGGUGGUUGUCCAAGUUGGAUGUGAAAGCCUUGAGCUUAACUCAAGAAAUGCAUUCAGGACUGGGCAACUAGAGGACCGGAGAGGAUAGUGGAAUUCCCAGUGUAGUGGUGAAAUACGUAGAGAUUGGGAAGAACACCAGUGGCGAAGGCGGCGACCUGGUCCGAUACUGACGCUGAGGCGCGAAAGCGUGGGGAGCAAACAGG
rnacentral:rRNA from 1 species